CCCUGCCCAAUCCAUCCGAGAGCCGGAUCCUGGAGCGCGGGCGGAUGCUCGAGACCGAGCAGAUGUUUCGCGAGGCAGGGGAGAAGUGGCCUGUUCUCAUUCCCGAGGAGGAGCUUAGUAUGAGCUUCCCUGGCACAAAGCCAAAGAAAGCAGUAGAAAGAAGUCAAUGAUCAAUUUCCUCUCUGUUUUGUGUUGGAUGGAUUGGUAUCCUUGGAUGAUGGUUUCCCCCUAAAUCUGUCUUGCGAUGUUCUACUGAUGUAGUUGAGGCCUUUCCUCCGUGCCAAAAUGGAUGGAACCAUGGUUUUUUACCAUUAAAUUUAUAAAAAUGAUGUUGGAAUUGCAUAUAGGCUUGACAUUGAAACCUAUGUAAUCCGGACCAUUUGAUGUAGUUUGUUUUGUUAGAUUUCGAAGUCUGGCAGUUCCGUGAAUAGAGCAGCUGGGUUCAUCCAACUUCGGAGAUCCUCAUUCUUUGCAGUUAAA